UACGUAGGGUGCAAGCGUUGUCCGGAUUUAUUGGGCUUAAAGGGUGCGUAGGCGGGGUCUCAAGUCUGGUUUGAAAGUUAGCUGCUCAACAGUUAGACGUGGCUGGAAACUGGGAUUCUGGAAUGGGGUGGCGGCUGCCGGAACGGCUGAUGUAGCGGUGAAAUGCAUAGAUAUGACCCAGAACACCGAUUGCGAAGGCAGGCAGCUGCGACCUGAUUGACACUGAGGCACGAGAGCAUGGGUAGCGAACAGG
rnacentral:rRNA from 1 species